rnacentral:rRNA from 1 species
GAUGAACGCUGGCGGCGUGCCUAAUACAUGCAAGUCGAACGCUUAGCGAAAGCUUCUUGCACCUUUUAAGUGCGUGCCGAACGGUUGCGUAACACGAGGCCACCCUGCCCCAAGGCUUGGGCUAACAUUUGUAAACAGAUGCUAAUACCGAAUAAACCUUCGUGUCGCAUGACUCAAAGUUAAAUGGCGCUUCGGCGUCACCUCGCGAUGGAUCCGCGGUGCAUUAGUUAGUUGGUGGGGUAAAGGCCUACCAAGACAAUGAUGCAUAGCCGAGGUGAGAGACGGGUCGGCCACAUUGGGACUUAGACACGGCCCAAGCUCCUACGGGAGGCUGCAGAAGGGAAUCUGCCACAAUGGGCGAAAGCCUGAUGGAGCAACGCCGAGUGUGUGGUGAAGGCUUUCGGGGAGGAAAGCACGGUUGUAGGGGAAGAACAGCUAGAAGAGGAAAUGAUGUGAGUUUGACGGUACCAUACCAGAAAGGGACGGCUAAAUACGUG